CUGUGCAUUUCUCCCACGCAUA
rnacentral:miRNA from 14 species